rnacentral:rRNA from 1 species
UGCGUAGGUGGCCAUGCAAGUCAGAUGUGAAAUCCCCGGGCUUAACUCGGGUGCUGCAUUUGAAACUGCGUGGCUUGAGUGCAGGAGAGGAAAGCGGAAUUCCUAGUGUAGCGGUGAAAUGCGUAGAUAUUAGGAGGAACACCAGUGGCGAAGGCGGCUUUCUGGACUGUAACUGACACUGAGGCACGAAAGCGUGGGGAGCAAACA